GACAGGGGGUGCAAACGUUGUUCGGAAUCACUGGGCAUAAAGCGCACGUAGGCGGCCGACUAAGUCAGAUGUGAAAGCCCCCGGCUCAACCGGGGAACAGCACCUGAUACUGGUUGGCUUGAGGACGGUAGGGGUGAGUGGAACUCCAGGUGGAGCGGUGAAAUGCGUAGAUAUCUGGAGGAACACCAAUGGCGAAGGCAGCUCGCUGGGACGGUACUGACGCUGAGACGCGAAAGCGUGGGGAGCAAACAGG
rnacentral:rRNA from 1 species